GGGGAAUUUUGGACAAUGGGCGCAAGCCUGAUCCAGCAAUGCCGCGUGAGUGAAGAAGGCCUUCGGGUUGUAAAGCUCUUUUGUCAGGGAAGAAACGGCUGUGGCUAAUAUCCACGGCUAAUGACGGUACCUGAAGAAUAAGCACCGGCUAACUACGUGCCAGCAGCCGCGGUAAUACGUAGGGUGCAAGCGUUAAUCGGAAUUACUGGGCGUAAAGCGUGCGCAGGCGGUUUUGUAAGUCUGUCGUGAAAUCCCCGGGCUCAACCUGGGAAUUGCGAUGGAGACUGCAAGGCUAGAAUCUGGCAGAGGGGGGUAGAAUUCCACGUGUAGCAGUGAAAUGCGUAGAGAUGUGGAGGAACACCGAUGGCGAAGGCAGCCCCCUGGGUCAAGAUUGACGCUCAUGCACGAAAGCGUGGGGAGCAAACAGGAUUAGAUACCCUGGUAGCCCACGCCCUAAACGAUGUCUACUAGUUGUCGGGUUUUAAUUAACUUGGUAACACAGCUAACGCGUGAAGUAGACCGCCUGGGGAGUACGGUCGCAAGAUUA
rnacentral:rRNA from 1 species